rnacentral:rRNA from 1 species
UCCCAGACUCCUACGGGAGGCAGCAGUGGGGGAUAUUGCACAAUGGGGGAAACCCUGAUGCAGCGACGCCGCGUGAGUGAAGAAGUAUUUCGGUAUGUAAAGCUCUAUCAGCAGGGAAGAAGAUGACAGUACCUGAGUAAGAAGCCCCGGCUAACUACGUGCCAGCAGCCGCGGUAAUACGUAGGGGGCAAGCGUUAUCCGGAUUUACUGGGUGUAAAGGGAGCGUAGACGGAUGGAUAAGUCUGAAGUGAAAGCCCGCGGCUCAACUGCGGGACUGCUUUGGAAACUGCCCGGCUAGAGUGCUGGAGAGGUAAGCGGAAUUCCUAGUGUAGCGGUGAAAUGCGUAGAUAUUAGGAGGAACACCAGUGGCGAAGGCGGCUUACUGGACAGUAACUGACGUUGAGGCUCGAAAGCGUGGGGAGCAAACAGGAUUAGAUACCCUCGUAGC